CCCCCAUUUUCCCCAGAUUUGGAGCAAACCCACAGCGCUGUGGCUCCGGGAUGGGGAGAUGCAGCUCCUGCGUCCCUGGGGUGGAGGGGUUGGGGUGGCCCUUCACCAAUACCCCCUUCCCGAGCCGCUGCGGCUCUGCCUGGGGGGGGGGGGGGGGGGGGGGGGGGGGGGCGGAGCCGCUGCGGCUCUGCCUGUCCCUCUGCCUGGCCCUGUCCCCUGUGGCACGGCCUCGGCGCUGCUGUAGCCUGCCCUUCCCGCGGCGGUUCCCAGGGCUGAGAAACCUCGGGAAAUCCCUCGGCGCUUGUUACCUGCGUGGCGCCGGGGUUCACCUGCCCCUGGCAGCUCACCCCGAGCUCUCACACGGGUGUGCACAGACACAGCUGUGAGUUUGUGUGUGACUUUUUCUGUGAGUUUUUCUGUGAGUUUUUGUGAGUUUUUGGGGGACCGUGUGGCACAUACUCGUGCCCGCACCUAGCUGGGAGCGAGCGCAGGCACCUGCGCACAUCUGUGCCAACAUCACAGCUGUGCAAGCACGCGUGUCCUGCUGCUCGGGGGGGCGCGGGUAGAUUUGGGGGUGCAGGGAGAUCAGGGGGUGCAGAGGGGUACAGGCAGAUUUGG
rnacentral:lncRNA from 12 species